AGCAGCCGCGGUAAUUCCAGCUCCAAUAGCGUAUAUUAAAGUUGUUGCAGUUAAAAAGCUCGUAGUUGAAUUUCGGGAUCGACGGGUCGGUCGCGCCUCUGGUGUGUACUGGCCCUGUCGGUUUCUCCCUUCUGACGAACCACGAUGUCAUUAAUUUGGUGUCGUGGGAAAUCAGGACUGUUACUUUGAAAAAAUUAGAGUGUUUAAAGCAGGCAUUCGCUUGAAUACAUUAGCAUGGAAUAAUGAAAUAGGACGUUUGAUCUUAUUUUGUUGGUUUCUAAGAUCGACGUAAUGAUUAAUAGGGAUAGUUGGGGGCAUUAGUAUUCAAUUGUCAGAGGUGAAAUUCUUGGAUUUAUUGAAGACUAACUACUGCGAAAGCAUUUGCCAAGGAUGUUUUCAUUAAUCAAGAACGAAAGUUAGGGGAUCGAAGACGAUCAGAUACCGUCGUAGUCUUAACCAUAAACUAUGCCGACUAGGGA
rnacentral:rRNA from 1 species